ensembl:lncRNA
AUGCUGUUUUUCAGUGUGAAAGGUGAUGGCUUGCAUGGAAAGAUCCAGCACCCAUCCCCCCUCUCCCUGCAUCUACUCCCCACCUGGCUGUCAUUGAGGUUUCCAUCUAAGGGUGGUGGGGGCUUCAAAUGCAGAGGCAGACAAUCAGACGCAGGUGUCUCCUCUAGUGACCCGGAUGUACUUAUCCCCCGAUGCCUGGUGACCCUGACAGGAAGUGAUUCGCUGGCCAAGUGACCUCCCCUGGUGGCCCUUCCUGUCCCCGUGUUGCCUCUCAGGAAGGAAGGAUGCGGUUUGUUGUCCUCAGGCGCCUCGCUCUCACUCUCCUGUCCUCAGCCUGACGAGAGAAACUAGAUUAUUGAUUCCAGGCUCGUCUCUCCUCGUCCUGUCCUUUUUUUAUUCUUCUUUUUCUGUCUGCUCCAUUCUUCAUCUCUUUCUCUCUUGUCUCAGCACCCACUUUAUUUUCUUUUGACAUCAUCCCUUUCUUCUUUUGUUAUAUUUUCCCUGUCCGUACGAGAUGUGAGUAAACACUGCGGACACAGGCAAACCGCAUCGUCCCCGAUCCCAUUCAAUUACACUCAGGGGGCUAACAAGUUUUUUGAUUUAUAGGCUCCAUUUAUUUUAUUUCUGACACUGAUUUAUUUAUUUGUUUUACUGUUAUUUUAUUGCCCAUACAUUCACAUUAAAUAUGGCAGUCAAUUCAUGUGGUGGAGAAUUUCCAAGGUCAGGCUUCUGGGUUUAGUCUGCUCUAAAAUGAAGUGCAUGCACACUGCAGAUUAAAGACACCAUUUGGUCGUAUUUAGGACGGGAAGGGGACUUCCAGGCAGAGACAGACACAGAGACCUCACUAACAACAUCAAACGCUGUUUUUGUUGUUCUUGGCUGUAGAUUAAGAACAGGAACUUAAACCAACAAGGUGAAAAGGUCAUGAAAAAUCAUUGCCAUUGUUUGUUAAUUGUGUAUCUGUCAAGCAACAAUGUCCAGGCCAGGAAAAACCUUAUCUCCUGAAGACUUUCACUACUUUCUAUGUUUAUAAUGUCAGCGUAGAGCGUAAUUUAUAAUAAUUCGUUUGGUGUAAAGAUGGUGAUAAUACAGUUUUUAUGUCUUAUUAUAGUAGAAUAUUUCUCUUUGUCACUUGUUAAUUAACAUUUUGUAAUUUCUGUCAUCAGCUGUAAUUGUUGUAUUGUGUUUGGUAAUGUGCCUUCAGUUUGUGAUUUUAAUUAUUAAAUGCAUUAACAUAAAAAAUAAUAAAGUUAAACCUUUUAUGAGCCUAAUUGUGUCUUUUUGUAGUUUUAAUAUUGUGAAAAAAAAAGUAGAAACAGAAAAAGCUAA